rnacentral:lncRNA from 1 species
AUGGAUCCAUUUCUGCUUUCUGACAUUUUCCUGCCGGGGGGGUGGGGGGGGGCGGAGAGAGGGAAAGAAGGGGGAGGGGCAGAGAGAGAGAGAGGAGAGAGAGAGAGAGAGAGAGAGAGAGAGAGAGAGAGAGAGAGAGAGAGAAAGAGAGGGAGAGGAGAAAGCAGGCAGUCUGCUUCCCCCAGCCCUGUUUUGUUUUCUCUAAUUGGUCCUGGGGGAGGCGAGGAAAUUGGACAGAGGCUGGGCCGGGCGAGCUGGGCUGCCUUUAAUUGGCUCCUUUUUUUAACUGGAGGGGAAUCAAACAGGAGAGCGAGCGACAAAGGGUGGGAGAGCGAGAGACCGAACGAGGAGACGCGAGGAGGAGGGAGGAGGAAGGGAGGGAGGGAGGCGGGGGGAGCGCGGAAUGAAAAGCUCCGAGGGGGGAAAAAGCAGCACAGCGAAGCUCAAGUUGCCGAGCGAGCGGAGCGCUCCCGCGGCCCCGAGCCCAGCGGCCGCCGCGCCCGGGAGCCCGGCCCGGCCCCGCCCGCUCGGGGCCCCCGCUGGCCGAGGCCGCCGGGCGGGGGCGGGGACGACCAACUUGGGGCGCGGCGCAGCCCCACUCUCCGGAGAGCAUCGAGACCGGGAGCGCCACGGCCGCGGCCAGACGGCGGGAGCGAAGCGCGACGAGCGGAGGCGGCGAGCGGCGCCCGCGCCGCAGCCCCGGCCUCGCCGAGAGCGCGAAUAUUUUUCAAACGACUCAAACUUUCCUCCUUUCCCCGCUUUCCCGGGUCUCUCUUGGCUGGAAUUGCUCUCCUGAUUCCCGCGGGGCGCCGGGGCGCGAUUCCUCCCCGGGGCUCCUCGGUGGCUCGGGUAACUUCGCGGACCUGGGGACCCGUGGAUCUCGCCCCUUGGCCGAGCCCAGCCAGCGCUUCUCCCCCGCUCAGGAGGGCCGGGGCCGGGGCUCCUUCGCCUUUGGGAGGGCGCCCAAUCCGGCCUGCUUGGGUCGGGCUACUGAGACCCCAGGACCCGCCGCAGGACUGGAGACAGCGGAUUAACCCGAGCGAAGCCCGGGCCUUCCAGCCCCCACUCCGCGGAGGGGCGUCCCCUGGGCGGGGAAAAAGACAAGUUUGUCAGUCGUCGGUGGCCUGUUGGAUCGAAGAGCCCCUGCCGCCGCAGAGGGGUCCCUGGCGCCCAGCACACGGAGCAGACAGCCCUGGGGACCCGGGGCAGGUCGGCGGCCGGGCUCCUCGGGCCGGGGCGCUGGCUGCUGCGCCGGGCGCGCCAAGGCACCCGGGGCCGGGCCAGCGCCCCCUGCGUCCCCACGCGGGCAGCGGCCCCGCCGGAGGAGAAACCCGGGUCGCCGCCGCAGCCACCGCCGCCUCCUCAGUCUCCCGGUCUCCGUCGCCGCCCCCUCUGUCGCCUGUCGGGGAAAGGGGGGACGCAGGGGGCUUCGCGGGGCCCCGGCGGAUGCGCCCCCCGCCACCUCUCGGGCUGCGCCGCCUCGCGGGGAUGAAGCACCGGCCGUGA